AAAAUAAGACAUCGGAGAAUUAGAACUACUUGAUAUAUGUGUAAUGCCAUCAAUAGAGAAACUAAAUAUAGUGCUAGUACAUAUAUGGGAGCAGGUACUAUGCCUUAAGCCUAUGUUAGUAAAAUGUCAAAAGUUACAAAGUGAAACUGUGCAUAACAAAGCAUGUGAAAUAACUAAAUAUGUAUGCAUGCAAUAUGCUAGUGAAAAAUAGAGAUAUAGAAU